rnacentral:snRNA from 1 species
AUGCUCACUUCAGCAGCACAUAUAUUAAAAUUGGAAUGAUACAGAGAAGACUGGCAUGGUUCCUUCCCAAGAAUGAUAUGCAAAUUCAUGAAGUGCUCCAUAUUCCU